rnacentral:tRNA from 1 species
ACCUGGGUGGCUCAGUGGUUGAGCAUCUGCCUUUGGCUCAGGGUGUGAUCCAGGAUCUUGGGACUGAGUCCCACUCCAGGUC